ensembl:lncRNA
AGCUCCACCCACUUAGGAUGUGAGAGAAGGAUGCAAGGAUAAGAUGUGAGGAGAGAGGAAUCGAAGCAAGUCGAAUGGAAUAUCCUUGCUCUCUCAAGUGUCACUUCAAAGCGACAUCAAUUAAUGAUGACUGUGCUCAGCUGGAUUGCUUCACUGUGCUUCAGGGAUCUGCCGUUAUGCUUUUUAUUUUUAUUUUUAUUUUUAUUGAUGUGCCAUUAUGUUGUUGGAGCUUGGUUAAUAGCAACAUUCUUAAUAAAGCAAAACAAAAUGCACUGAUAGUAUGUGAAAUGUCUGGGUUAUUCAACAAUGAAUUAAUGAACAAUACAUAAACUAUCACAUCAUUCAUGCAGCUUUUCAUAUCCAAACAUGCAAGGAUCAAUAAAUUACAAUACUCAUUGUAAGCAUAUUAUUAUGUAAAGAUGUUCCAGAAGGACGAUGACAGUUGCCUUGAUCAUUCUGAAGCCAUCAGAGCAGUUACAACUGUUGUGUCGUCGAUCCCAGCAUAGGCCGCAGCUCCAGCUAUUGCUCCAGUAGUGCCGUAUGCUGUUGUAAGGAAAGUCAUGUUGGGAUAUCCCAACUCCAUGCAGAAUUUAUCCAACAACUGCUGUCAUAAGUUUGUGGGUGGGGUUCCAGCGGUGUCACGUUGUGAUAAGUUUACUGUGAACACUCUCUCCUCCCUGUGAACACCCCUUCUGUCUCUUUCCUGGUUCCUGUGUUGGCACCUUUUUCUCUUUGUUUCUUUGUCGACUCAGGUGCGGACAGAUGAAGCCCCUCACCAUUUGUGCAUUUACAUACCUUCCUGUUUCAUGCGAAUAUGCCCUUCUACCUUACCAAUCAAUGGUUAACCCAUUGUCUCUGUCGUGUGUCAAGCCUGAUAUAUACUCUGCCUUUCUUGGAAUAAAUGAGAGAUCUUGCCAUUUGAACUUUGUGUGUCUGUGUGUCAUUUCGUAAACUCUCCCAAGGCCUUGGUGUGGGAAGUGUGUACACGUCUUUCUUGUAGUCUCUCUUCUUAAGAAUCGUAACCCAGAGAUUCUCUAGUUUCAAAUCUUAACAGUUUUCUGGGGGCUCGUCCUGGGAUAUAGAUUCGCAAAUGCUGAGACAUUGUCAUCAGGCAUCGCCAGGGCUGUCUUCCUAGUGUUGCUGUAGCAGUAGGCAGACAUAGAUUCUUGAGACUUUGUGGUUGUGUGUGGCGAAUGUACCGAUCUGUAGUCGCUUUUAUAUAUAUACAUAUAGUCACUGUAAUAUGAGGGCGGACUUAAGAGACGGUCUUCGGACCGGGUUAAACAACAACGUCUUUACAAUAUCUUCAUCUUCAUCUUCAUGAAGAAACUUUGUCAAACUAACAUCUUGGGUUGUUUUUUUUUUUUCUUGGAGCAAAAGUCAGGUCCUCUCUCAUUUCAACAAGUCCUCUUGUUGAUGAAAUACACAACAGGCUUCAACAUGGGUAUUAGGAGUUCUCGGAGCAGCUACUGUAACAGAUAGUGUCUUCUGUGUUUUAACUACAACAUAUUGAACCAUUAUUUAAACACCAAGAACCAUGCUCACACUAAACUCAUUAACAUAAACACAUCGUAAACAUUCAGUGGGAGCAUCCUGCUCAGUACACCCCAGGAAACACAUGUCCCUAUCUCAGACAGCCAGACAGGUCACAUACACACACACACACACGCACA